rnacentral:rRNA from 1 species
GGCGAACGCUGGCGGCGUGCCUAAUACAUGCAAGUUGAGCGAUGAAGCUUGGUGCUUGCACCAAUUUGAAGAGCAGCGAACGGGUGAGUAACGCGUGGGGAAUCUGCCUUUGAGCGGGGGACAACAUUUGGAAACGAAUGCUAAUACCGCAUAACAACUUUAAACAUAAGUUUUAAGUUUGAAAGAUGCAAUUGCAUCACUCAAAGAUGAUCCCGCGUUGUAUUAGCUAGUUGGUGAGGUAAAGGCUCACCAAGGCGAUGAUACAUAGCCGACCUGAGAGGGUGAUCGGCCACAUUGGGACUGAGACACGGCCCAAACUCCUACGGGAGGCAGCAGUAGGGAAUCUUCGGCAAUGGACGAAAGUCUGACCGAGCAACGCCGCGUGAGUGAAGAAGGUUUUCGGAUCGUAAAACUCUGUUGGUAGAGAAGAACGUUGGUGAGAGUGGAAAGCUCAUCAAGUGACGGUAACUACCCAGAAAGGGACGGCUAACUACGUG